AUUUUCUGUCUCGUUUUAGCGAGCUCUAGACCACCAAGCCUCGAGUGACGGAUGGACCGAACGAGCAGGAGAUUAAAAAACUGGGGGGAGUGACUACACCCAAUAAUGCUUUGCUCCGCCUUGGGGAACUCUCUUUAAAAAACUGCGAGCAAGGUAAGAGGGGGGAGCGGCAGAUUAAGCCAUGGUACUCGAGGACAAAGCAGGAUUGAAUUGCGGCUGUGGAUUUCGUGGCUGCUGCUUUGAGGAAAACCAAUAUCAAACUGGCAAUAAUAGGAGCAUGAUCAAACGUAUGUGCAACUAAGGUGCGUAGCAGCAGCUGGGAUUGCAAAAUCGGCCCGGUUUGAGCACAGGACAAGCUUGGGAUGGAGACCGAGAUGGCUCAACUUGGUAAGCAGGCUGUAGCUACAGCAGCGCG